rnacentral:rRNA from 1 species
AGUGAACGCUGGCGGUAGGCCUAACACAUGCAAGUCGAACGGCAGCACAGUAAGAGCUUGCUCUUACGGGUGGCGAGUGGCGGACGGGUGAGGAAUACAUCGGAAUCUACUUUUUCGUGGGGGAUAACGUAGGGAAACUUACGCUAAUACCGCAUACGACCUACGGGUGAAAGCAGGGGAUCUUCGGACCUUGCGCGAUUGAAUGAGCCGAUGUCGGAUUAGCUAGUUGGCGGGGUAAAGGCCCACCAAGGCGACGAUCCGUAGCUGGUCUGAGAGAAUGAUCAGCCACACUGGAGCUGAGCCAGGGUCCAGACUCCUACGGGAGGCAGCAGUGGGGAAUAUUGGACAAUGGGCGCAAGCCUGAUCCAGCCAGACCGCGUGGGUGAAGAAGGCCUUCGGGUUGUAAAGCCCUUUUGUGGGGAAAGAAAAGCAGCAGGUUAAUACCCCGCUGUUCUGACGGUACCCAAAGAAUAAGCACCGGCUAACUUCGUG